UAAAUCGAAAAAGUUGCCCGACUGAUCUUGUAUACACUUCGCGCAGAAUUCUUAUCGGACUGAUUGAAUGGAAAUUGGUGUAAAUCGCUGUAAGCGUAUACACCAGUCAAGGAAAAGAAAAAAAAUGUCGGUCGCCCUUUAAUUACGUUAAAAGUUGGAAACUAUUCGGGAAAAAGCCGAAAGAGAAAGUUUGUCGCUCGAGUUCAAGUGCUUGUGAAAAUCGAAGUUCAACCCCACGAC